GAGUUUGAUCCUGGCUCAGGAUGAACGCUGGCGGCGUGCCUAACACAUGCAAGUCGAACGAAGCACCUUACCUGAUUCUUCGGAUGAAGGUCUGGUGACUGGGUGGCGGACGGGUGAGUAACGCGUGGGUAACCUGCCCUGUACAGGGGGAUAACAGCUGGAAACGGCUGCUAAUACCGCAUAAGCGCACGAGGAGACAUCUCCUUGUGUGAAAAACUCCGGUGGUACAGGAUGGGCCCGCGUCUGAUUAGCUGGUUGGCAGGGUAACGGCCUACCAAGGCAACGAUCAGUAGCCGGUCUGAGAGGAUGAACGGCCACAUUGGAACUGAGACACGGUCCAAACUCCUACGGGAGGCAGCAGUGGGGAAUAUUGCACAAUGGGGGAAACCCUGAUGCAGCAACGCCGCGUGAGUGAAGAAGUAUUUCGGUAUGUAAAGCUCUAUCAGCAGGGAAGAUAAUGACGGUACCUGACUAAGAAGCUCCGGCUAAAUACGUGCCAGCCGCCGCGGUAAUUC
rnacentral:rRNA from 1 species